UACGUAGGGUGCAAGCGUUGUCCGGAUUUAUUGGGUUUAAAGGGUGCGUAGGCGGCCUAAUAAGUCAGUGGUGAAAGACUGCAGCUCAACUGUAGGUGUGCCAUUGAUACUGUUAGGCUUGAGUACAGACGAGGUAGGCGGAAUUUAUGGUGUAGCGGUGAAAUGCAUAGAUACCAUAAAGAACACCGAUAGUGAAGACAGCUUACUAGGCUGUAACUGACGCUGAGGCACGAAAGCGUGGGGAGCGAACAGG
rnacentral:misc_RNA from 1 species